AUAUCAAUAAAUAUCAUUUUUGCACCAUUUAUGGAAGACGUGCCCUUAGCUGGAGCACUUACCUUCUUUUUCCCUCAUCAACUGGUAUUGGAACUACACUGGACAGGACUGUCCCACCUACUUAAUAUUCCUGGACUUCAGUAUGUUGUUCUCCCUUGAAUUUCUUUAUAUCUAGUUACCGUCGGCCCCUCCCUUUCCGGCUAUUGCUCUUCACUUUACUCAGUACCUUUUAUCACUCUCUUCUCUCUCUACUUGCUCUAUCACACUUUUAUGUACAGUAGAAUAACAUACAUGUUUUCUUUUCCCUGUUAAGUACCAUGUCAGACAAAAAGAUUGUUGAUAAUAUUGCACGUUUCUUGGUUGAAUCUUUCCAAUAAGUUUAUAGCUUUAAAAUACACCAUCAUAAAAGAAAUGGGCUAAUACAUUCUAGCCGUGAUCUGUAAUAUGGCAGCAAAUAAUACUAAUAAAGACUGUGUUAAAUGUACAUUCACCAAAGAAGACACGUUAAGGUGUUAGCAUAAGGUUGCAUUAUAGUAUAUGAAACCAUAAGUAUGAUAUUUAAUAACAUUUACUUAUGGCUGUUUCAUUCACCUCAGAUUUUGACUCCUUACUCUGUGAAGCCAGAGCAAUGAAAAAGAACCUCUAUUGCCCAGAAAAAACGCUUCAUUGGUCCAAAACCCAAAUCCCAGAGCAAAGUCACUAAACGAUGAAUAUUCUUAACUAUAUGUUGAUGCCCCUCUUCCUGAGAACUUUCUACUAUGGGACAAUCUACACAUCAAAGAUACCUAGUAAGCUCAGUUGGAGGCCAAGCAAGCCAGGAUGCCCAACAAACACAGGGUAUUGAGGAGGAGGAAUAGGAGGAUUCAUCACCAACAUGGUAAAGUAAUAUUUGUGCACCAUUUCAGUGUAGGUGAAAGUUAACUUGAAAUCAACAAAACAUCACAUCCUGCAGUCUGCAGAGGAGAGAGGAGGAGAAGGAGGAGGGAAGGAGGGUUUAACAUCUACACAAAUCCUUUAUUUAGGAAAAAUAUUACAUUCUAAUAAGCCAGUUUGGUGUUGGAGACCAACCAAGCCAAGAUUUCCAUUUGGACUGUUUUCUAGGACUGCUGUUGCCUUUUAUGCAUCCCCCACCUUACCUUACCCCCCCCCCCCUUUACUUGCACUUGUACAGGACUGAGCCACAGUUAGCAGUCAACCCUUUUAUGGGUGAAGAGAUGGAUGACAUUAACCAUGACACUCGACUGUCUGAGUAGGAGGUAGAGGAGUAUUUAACACCAAGUGGGAGGGGGGUAGCACAUUUUUUUCACGGAUAGUGCACUUGUGCUCUAUGCACUAAGAUGAUUUUCUUGCAAUAAAAAAAAUAAAUUCAGAUCUUAUUAGAAUAAAUGUGUUUGUUGGUUUUUGAUUGUAAAGUGCCACCUGUGGAAAGGUGCUCAACUUGCUUCAUGGCAUACUUGCCAUAAACUAGGUGCUUAGGGUUGCCAUCUGACUGGCAAAGUAGCUGCCGGUAAAUUUGUGGUCACUAGUCCCAGUCCGUCUUUCUUCACUUUCUAGCAACAAUAUUUCCCAAAUCCCCUGAUAUCUGCACAUUUGACGGUUCAGCUCCACUCCCUCUACAUCAUGGGCCCUCCCAGUGAAAUCACUGGGCCACCAUUUAUGUCACAAUCCUCUCCCCCACUCUGGCCAAUAAAAUGUUCCCAAAAAUGUGGCAACCCUAUAGGUGCUAAAAAGAACAAAAAGGGGGGGGGGGAAAUUAGCACCACAACUAACCAUUGGUAUUUUAAGAAGAAUGUAAUGUGAAUCUAAAAUGUAUGUAUAAAUAGUCAUCUAUAUUUAUUCGCUCCCCCAUGGCGUUAAAUGUCUACACUUCCUUGUUCUCCGGUUGCUGGGCAGAAGCCCAUGUAUCAAGACUGUUGUGUAGGGAUCACCAUUUAAUAGGGACUUAGUUUUUAGUGAUUUUCCAAUCCAACGUGUGGGGAUCCAAGUCACCGUACAGAGAUCCGGAGGGUGUAUCUAUCCAGUGUGGUAUGCUAUCUCCACGGGGAUGUCACAAGCUGCUGUGAUGUUACCUGACAUGUAUGUGAUAAACUUCAAGGCCAAGGACUGUGAAUAUGAAAACCCUGAUUUGUGCUUUGCGAGAGAAUAAAGCCUGUUGCUGUUUGUUUUGUUCAAGAA